GAUGAACGCUGGCGGCGUGCUUAACACAUGCAAGUCGAACGGAAAGGCCUGCUUUCCCUUGUGGAUUGCGGGUGCUCGAGUGGCGAACGGGUGAGUAACACGUGAGUGAUCUGCCCCCAACUUGGGUAUAAGCCUGGGAAACUGGGUCUAAUUCCCGAUAGGACUGCAGGGUGGUGCCUGUGGUGGAAAACGAUUUUCUAGUGGUUGGGGAUGAGCUCGCGGCCUAUCAGCUUGUUGGUGGGGUAAUGGCCUACCAAGGCGGCGACGGGUAGCCGGCCUGAGAGGGUGGACGGCCACAUUGGGACUGAGAUACGGCCCAGACUCCUACGGGAGGCAGCAGUGGGGAAUAUUGCACAAUGGGCGGAAGCCUGAUGCAGCGACGCAGCGUGGGGGAUGACGGCCUUCGGGUUGUAAACUCCUUUCGACCGCGAGGAAGCCACCUGGUUGGAAGGGUGGUGACGGUAGUGGUAGAAGAAGCACCGGCUAACUACGUG
rnacentral:rRNA from 1 species